rnacentral:rRNA from 1 species
UCAGUCGACUCCUACGGGAGGCAGCAGUGGGGAAUAUUGGACAAUGGACCAAAAGUCUGAUCCAGCAAUUCUGUGUGUUUGAUGAAGGCCUUCGGGUUGUAAAGAACUUUCAGUGGGGAAGAAGCAAGUGACGGUACCCACAGAAGAAGCGACGGCUAAAUACGUGCCAGCAGCCGCGGUAAUACGUAUGUCGCAAGCGUUAUCCGGAAUUAUUGGGCAUAAAGGGCGUCUAGGCGGUCUAAUAAGUCUGAUGUGAAAAUGCGGGGCUCAACUCCGUAUUGCGUUGGAAACUGUUAGACUAGAGUUUUGGAGAGGUAGGCGGAACUACAAGUGUAGAGGUGAAAUUCGUAGAGAUUUGUAGGAAUGCCGAUGACGAAGGUAGCUUACUGGACAAAUACUGACGCUGAAGCGCGAAAGCUAGGGGAGCAAACAGGAUUAGAUACCCUGGUAG